CCACAAUGGCGGAAGAGCGUGAUGUCACGACUCCGCCCCUCAAUGCAAGUCUCCAACCCUUUCUAUUUAUAUUUAUGGACCAAAUGAGAAUCCGAUUAAAAACUGCAACUUCCCACAUGCUGAGCCACAGGUUGGAGAGAACUGCUGAAAAUAAUGGCCUCCAAAGGUUGUGUUGUGCAGAAUUUCUUACCCAGAAGCCUUGCCCAUGGAGGGACCAUAAGGCAGCCCAUGGAUUGCCUACAGGUUCAUAGGACUUCAAUGUGCAGCCUUACAGACCAGGCACUGUGCACGGUUUUGCUUUUGGAGACUGCUCAGAUAGAGUUAUAAUUUGGGGACUAUAUCCAAUAGAAGAAGUAAGAAUAA